rnacentral:rRNA from 1 species
AUGUGUCACUGCCCACGCCCUCGGACGGCAGCGCUGGCACAUUCACAGGGAAACAGGGUCGCACAUCACGAAGGGCGCCAUGCACAUGCCAUCUCGGGCUCCUGCGGUGCGGCACCAGCAGUCUCAGCACGGCUGCACGGCUCGCCGGACCUGUUGCCGCUGCCGUUGGCCGAGCGGGGCAGGAGCGGGAGCGAGAGGAUAUCGUCAGGGAUCAGGCCUGGAACCAGAGCGGGAGUGAGCUAG